GUGGUUGUGGCUUAGUGGUAGAGCGCUCCUCUAGCAUGUGUGAGGCCCUGAGUUAGAUCCUCAGUACCACA
rnacentral:tRNA from 1 species